rnacentral:rRNA from 1 species
AGAUUGAACGCUGGCGGCGUGCCUAACACAUGCAAGUCGAGCGGUAACAGGCGUAGCAAUACGUGCUGACGAGCGGCGAACGGGUGAGCAAUGCUUCGGAAUCUGCCCAAUGAUGGGGAAUAACCAGUCGAAAGAUUGGCUAAUACCGCAUACGCCCUACGGGGGAAAGCAGGGGAUCGCAAGACCUUGCGUCGAUGGAUGAGCCGAAGUCGGAUUAGCUAGUUGGUAGGGUAACGGCCUACCAAGGCGACGAUCCGUAGCUGGUCUGAGAGGACGACCAGCCACACUGGGACUGAGACACGGCCCAGACUCCUACGGAGGCAGCAGUGGGGAAUAGUUGGACAAGUGGGGGCAACCUGAUCCAGCGACGCGCGUGUGUGAAGAGGCCUGCGGUUAGUAAAGUCUACGUUUUAGGUAGGGAUAGAAACG